rnacentral:rRNA from 1 species
UGGGGAAUUUUGGACAAUGGGCGAAAGCCUGAUCCAGCAAUGCCGCGUGUGUGAAGAAGGCCUUCGGGUUGUAAAGCACUUUUGUCCGGAAAGAAAUCCUUGGCUCUAAUACAGUCGGGGGAUGACGGUACCGGAAGAAUAAGCACCGGCUAACUACGUGCCAGCAGCCGCGGUAAUACGUAGGGUGCAAGCGUUAAUCGGAAUUACUGGGCGUAAAGCGUGCGCAGGCGGUUUGCUAAGACCGAUGUGAAAUCCCCGGGCUCAACCUGGGAACUGCAUUGGUGACUGGCAGGCUAGAGUAUGGCAGAGGGGGGUAGAAUUCCACGUGUAGCAGUGAAAUGCGUAGAGAUGUGGAGGAAUACCGAUGGCGAAGGCAGCCCCCUGGGCCAAUACUGACGCUCAUGCACGAAAGCGUGGGGGAGCAAAACAGGAUUAGAUACCCCUGGUAGUCCACGCCCUAAAACGAUGUCAACUAGUUGUUGGGGAUUCAUUUCCUUAGUAACGUAGCUAACGCGUGAAGUUGACCGCCUGGGGAGUACGGUCGCAAGAUUAAAACUCAAAGGAAUUGACGGGGUCAAGCUG